rnacentral:lncRNA from 1 species
CCUGAGUGGGCAGGAGCCCCCAGCAGCCCCCAGCUCUCCUUGCCCUCCUCACUUUGCCAGCUCCUGGAGGAGCUAUUGCUGCACUGAGGACAGAGCAAGACACCCCCUGCAACAUCCCCACUCCUGCAACCAUCCCACGCUGCUGCAGCUCUCAAACUGGUGCUGCUUUGAUGGAUUAAAACCUAGUAAUAAUUUACUGAUCCGUGAAGCCUGAUAUUUCAUCCGGGAAAUGAAAGAGACAUUCACAGGAUUAUACACUCCCACCAUCUUAUAUCAUCAGUCUUCCCUCUGGAUUUUUUUCAGGUUCAUAAGCUUGGAAGCUCUCAAAGUUUUUCUGCUAUCAGAUAAAAACCUGUGAAAAACUCCCAGACUGAGGCUCCUGAUUCAGGGACAAGAUCAUCCUGUGCUAAUAAAGAUUUGAGCAGAGGAUCUUUGAAAUUAUUU